rnacentral:rRNA from 1 species
UACGGAGGGGGCGAGCGUUGUCCGAAGUUACUGGGCGUAAAGCGCGUGUAGGCGGGUUGCCAAGUCCGCUGUGAAAGCCCGAGGCUCAACCUCGGAGGGUCGGUGGAUACUGGCAGUCUUGAAGUUGCUAGGGGGAGAUGGAAUUACCGGUGUAGCGGUGAAAUGCGUAGAGAUCGGUAGGAACACCAGUGGCGAAGGCGGGUUGCUGGGCUGACACUGACGCUGAUGCGCGAAAGCCAGGGGAGCGAACGGG